rnacentral:rRNA from 1 species
UGCGUAGGCGGUCUUUCAAGUCAGGAGUGAAAGGCUACGGCUCAACCGUAGUAAGCUCUUGAAACUGGGAGACUUGAGUGCAGGAGAGGAGAGUGGAAUUCCUAGUGUAGCGGUGAAAUGCGUAGAUAUUAGGAGGAACACCAGUAGCGAAGGCGGCUCUCUGGACUGUAACUGACGCUGAGGCACGAAAGCGUGGGGAGCGAACA